rnacentral:sRNA from 1 species
UUUAAUAUCAGGAAGUUCUGCGCCGAAGCUCGUAACCCCCUCAGACCCGAAAUGACCGCAUUUAAUAUUAGUUUCGUCCUAAACGUCAUUCGAAUCGGCGACUUCUAAGCUUUGCCUAUACUCUUUACCAAUUGAGCUAAUGACAUUUAAUGAGGGUUAUGAUAUUGCCACACAAUGGUUCGAAAAAUGAGGACGUGACAAUAUUAGAUUGA